GCAUUGGUGGUUCAGUGGUAGAACUUUUGCCUGCCACGCAGGAGACACGGGUUCGUUUCCCGGCCAAUGCA